rnacentral:rRNA from 1 species
UACGUAGGGGGCAAGCGUUGUCCGGAAUCAUUGGGCGUAAAGCGCGCGUAGGUGGCCUCGUAAGUCCGCUGUGAAAGUCAAAGGCUCAACCUUUGAAAGCCGGUGGAUACUGUGAGGCUAGAGUACGGAAGAGGCGAGUGGAAUUCCUGGUGUAGCGGUGGAAUGCGCAGAUAUCAGGAGGAACACCAAUAGCGAAGGCAGCUCGCUGGGACGUAACUGACACUGAGGCGCGAAAGCGUGGGGAGCGAACAGG